GCUUUAUUAGUUUAAUAAGAAUGUUGAUUUGUGAUAUCAAAGGUAUAUUUUUAUAUAUUGAGCU
rnacentral:tRNA from 2 species